GAGAUCAAGAGGAGGACUUUCACCUGCCAGCCCACUUUGUUGCCCUCUCCAGUUAAUACCCAAGUACAACAGGUGUCACUUUAAAAAAAUGGAAAAAUUUAAAUAGCUGUCCUGGAGGACAUACAAAGAAAUUACCAGGGAACCAUCUGUGCCACAAAACUUUCAGCAGAGACACAGCAGCCAGACAAAAAGAGAAUCAACAGCAAUAAAAGCAAACAUUCCGAGGUGGCAUGAUUGAAAAGCACGUAAGAGUGGCUGAGUCAGAUCCAUCCCACGUCCCACAGGAGCAGCAGUGGAUUCCUGGUCCUCCCAGCUCCUACCAACUGCCUGGGAGCUUUCUCAGCAGCUUUUUUCACCUGAGUCAUUGCAUUUCACAACAAGUGAUGAUGAAUCCAGCCUUCAUUCAUUUUCUUAGUUAAUUUUAAAAAAUAACUUCUAUUUCUGCCCUUUGCAAUAUCCUGUGGAAGCUGCAGUGUGGUUUGCCUACCACCAUUAAUUUUGUGAUCAGUAGGAGGACUGUUCAGCAAACAGCUUUGGAAAGAGGAUAUUUCCUCAAGGAGCAGGCAGCAAGGAAGAAGGCAGAAAAAAGAGACAUUAAGAGCAACGUAACGGAAAGAGCAAGACUCUGGGAAUUGAAAAGGUGUGAGGCACGGCUUGGGGUUGAGUGAUUGAUGGGAGGUCUUAAAGCAAAGCCCAGAAUGUGAUGAGUUUCAUAAAAAACACUGCAGUCAUUAUGUGUGGCCAGGAGGCUGCACGGCACUAAAUAUUGCUGAUGUUUAAGAGCUUCUUUUUAAGAGUUCAGGCCUUAAAAUAUCACGUGUGGGCAGCAGCAAGCAGUUAUUUGUGGUGAGUGGUUACCAAUGGACAGAGAGCCCAGCUCAUUGCAACUUUAUUUUCUUCCUUUGUACUGCUCUUCCCCAAAAUGUGCCAAAUAAAACACGUCCUCCCUAACAGACCCGCUAUUAUUUUAUGGUCUCACCAUGCUGGGUUGGAAAUUGCAGUGUCAUGAAAACAUCCUUUAAAUAAAUAAUAAAACAGGAUAUUCCUAAGACAGGGUCUUGCAUCUUGAAGGAGCCUGCACAGCCUCACAAAACCCCCACCACAGCCACUGCUGGGAGAGGUAACAGCCUUCAGCAACGCUGCUCAGUGGUUCAGGCCAGCAAAUGUGGAAUAAAUAUUACAUGGUGUUUAACAAGGCAUUUUCCAACCUAAAUGAUUCUGUGAAAUACAAAUUCCUCUCCCUUUCCAAGCUCUGCUUUCAUCUGCAAUAAAGAGCUUUUCCCUGUGAACACCCCAGCAGCCCAUGAGAGCACACAAUGUGCCUUCUGCACCGUGGCUUGCUUAUCACCCUGGGUGUGCUUUUGUAGAAGGAAAAUUUCUGCCCCACAGGUUUUACAAUCUGAAUUGCAACAAGGCAAGGUAAUGAAAGCAAAAGGAUGGAAAGAAGAAAAUGAAUCUCAAGACGUAGAAAUUUCAAAUGUGAUCAUAUCAAAUGUACACAUGAUGCAGGUUCCAGAGUGAAGGGGAAGAUGGAGAGGAGAACCAAGAUGGAGUCAUGAUAAGGGAUUUACAGAGUUUUUCCAGAAGAGGAAAAAGACUUUGUCUGAUACAUUCAAAUGAGUCAAGAAAUAAAAAUAAAAAAGCAAGCUCAAUGCCCAGUUAUAUAUAUUUAAAAAAAUCUAAAUUUUUAGACUGGACACAGCAUUAAUCAUGAUCUAGACUGAGAACUGCUGCUGAGAGCACAGCCCCAUAGCAAAAUGCAUCUCCUUUCCUGUGCCUGACUGUAGGUGAUGCUUUCCUGAUAUGGGUUGGCUUCUCUGGGGAAGUCUCCAGCCCCCAGCCAUGCAGAGAUGUGCAGAGAUUUCAUUUAUUUCUUAAUAAAAUAAGACAGCACCUGUGAGAGUCACGUACUUCAAAGUAAGUCCAAUCCUUUUGCUCCAUUGCACUUCGUCCUGUGAGUUGAAUCCAUCAUUCUGUGACUGAAGUAGAUCUGACAUGAUGGGAUCCAGCAGUAAACACAAAUAUCAGUGACUUCUUCAAGGAGUAUCCCAGCAAAAAUAUACCUUCUCCUUCCAUACUUAUUACAUACACUUAGGAAAGAAAUUUUAAAAAAAACUUUUUUUUUUUCAUUUUACUUCCCUGACUUUUUCUUUGAGAUGUGCAGUGACAUUUCAGGUAAGGCAGCAGACCAGAGCACCAUUUCCCCCAUCAUUA